rnacentral:rRNA from 1 species
UGAACCUGCGGAAGGAUCAUUACAUAAAAGGAUACCCUCACCGGUAUACCCCACCCGUGUCUAUCUACUCUUGUUGCUUUGGCAGGCCGUGGUCUCCCACUGUGGGCUUUUGCCUGCAUGUGCCUGCCAGAGGACCAAACUCUGAAUUUUUAGUGAUGUCUGAGUACUAUAUAAUAGUUAAAACUUUCAACAACGGAUCUCUUGGUUCUGGCAUCGAUGAAGAACGCAGCGAAAUGCGAUAAGUAAUGUGAAUUGCAGAAUUCAGUGAAUCAUCGAAUCUUUGAACGCACAUUGCGCCCUGUGGUAUUCCGCAGGGCAUGCCUGUUCGAGCGUCAUUAUAACCACUCAAGCCUCGCUUGGUGUUGGGGCUCGCAAUCUGGCGGCCUCUAAAAUCAGUGGCGGUGCCGGUAGGCUCUGAGCGUAGUACAUCUCCUCGCUAUAGAGUCCGAUCGGUCCCCUGCCAAAACCCCCAUAUUUUUAUAGGUUGACCUCGGAUCAGGUAGGGAUACCCGCUGAACUUAAGCAUAU